rnacentral:rRNA from 1 species
CUGGCUCAGGACGAACGCUGGCGGCGUGCCUAAUACAUGCAAGUCGAGCGGACCGACGGGAGCUUGCUCCCUUAGGUCAGCGGCGGACGGGUGAGUAACACGUGGGUAACCUGCCUGUAAGACUGGGAUAACUCCGGGAAACCGGGGCUAAUACCGGAUGCUUGAUUGAACCGCAUGGUUCAAUCAUAAAAGGUGGCUUUUAGCUACCACUUACAGAUGGACCCGCGGCGCAUUAGCUAGUUGGUGAGGUAACGGCUCACCAAGGCGACGAUGCGUAGCCGACCUGAGAGGGUGAUCGGCCACACUGGGACUGAGACACGGCCCAGACUCCUACGGGAGGCAGCAGUAGGGAAUCUUCCGCAAUGGACGAAAGUCUGACGGAGCAACGCCGCGUGAGUGAUGAAGGUUUUCGGAUCGUAAAACUCUGUUGUUAGGGAAGAACAAGUACCGUUCGAAUAGGGCGGUACCUUGACGGUACCUAACCAGAAAGCCACGGCUAACUACGUGCCAGCAGCCGCGGUAAUACGUAGGUGGCAAGCGUUGUCCGGAAUUAUUGGGCGUAAAGCGCGCGCAGGCGGUUUCUUAAGUCUGAUGUGAAAGCCCCCGGCUCAACCGGGGAGGGUCAUUGGAAACUGGGGAACUUGAGUGCAGAAGAGGAGAGUGGAAUUCCACGUGUAGCGGUGAAAUGCGUAGAGAUGUGGAGGAACACCAGUGGCGAAGGCGACUCUCUGGUCUGUAACUGACGCUGAGGCGCGAAAGCGUGGGGAGCGAACAGGAUUAGAUACCCUGGUAGUCCACGCCGUAAACGAUGAGUGCUAAGUGUUAGAGGGUUUCCGCCCUUUAGUGCUGCAGCAAACGCAUUAAGCACUCCGCCUGGGGAGUACGGUCGCAAGACUGAAACUCAAAGGAAUUGACGGGGGCCCGCACAAGCGGUGGAGCAUGUGGUUUAAUUCGAAGCAACGCGAAGAACCUUACCAGGUCUUGACAUCCUCUGACAACCCUAGAGAUAGGGCUUCCCCUUCGGGGGCAGAGUGACAGGUGGUGCAUGGUUGUCGUCAGCUCGUGUCGUGAGAUGUUGGGUUAAGUCCCGCAACGAGCGCAACCCUUUGAUCUUAGUUGCCAGCAUUCAGUUGGGCACUCUAAGGUGACUG